AGGGGUUGGACCACCUGGGUCAACCACCUGAAGGAUUCAGACGUGAAGCUGCUGUGGGAUCUGAAGGAGAGUCCACACUGCAGACUGGAGACUCUGAGGUGGUAGUGAUCUCCAGUAAAGUCCAGUCCAGCAUGGUCCCUGUGUGUUCCUCUGGAUCUCUGGAUCAGAGUAUCAUCAGAGUAUGUGGGCUGCUCUGCUGCUGCUCUGUCCUUCUACACCAUGGGUCUCAAACUCGCUGGCCAAUUGUGGCCCUCAUGACGAUAUUUUGUGGCCCCGACCUUGAUAUGAAAGUUUAAUCGGCCCCCAGGUAAUUUGAGUUUGAGACCCCUGUUCGACACAGUCUCUGCAGACACACUGAGACUCCUCCUCCAACUGAAGACCUUACGACAACUAUAAAUCUGCAGCAUUUUAAAUGUCCUCUCUGUGCUUGUCACUGUGUUACAUUAUGUUGCAGCUCCACCUUGUGGAAUUAUAGAGAAUUAAAGUUCUGAUUAUUACUACAAACUGUAGACAUUUUUCAAAGUGUAACACCUGCAGAAAGGAAAAGGAAAAGGCAGAUAAAAGGACAGUGUCCAAGUUAUUUGAGUAAAUCUAUUAGCUAUUGUAUGAAAUCUAACUUUCUGGUAUUUCCCAACAGAUUGUGUUUUGGUAGAAAACUAAAGAACUGCAAAGUCGGCUGAUAAUUAAAUUGGCUUUGUCCCUAUGAGUGACUUCCUUUCACCUUGUCAUGUGAGCCCUGUUCAAAUAAAAAUACUGAUUACAGUAGUUUUCUGUUUCUGAAAUAUCACUGGAUUCUAGUGAAAAUAUAGUGCUGUUUGUUGUUUGUAACACUUGAACACCAGAACAUUUUAAUGACAUGUUGUAUCAGCCUUUUUUUCUUCUGAUGUGAAAUAAUAAAAAUAUAACAUAAAAAC